GAUGGUAAGGAGUGGCAGAGAGCAGAGAAGAAGGGAGAGGUGCCGGGCAGGCGGCUGCAGAGGCAGGGCAGGACCGGGCCUGCCGAGGGCUGCUGCGGUCCCCGACCCCGGCGGCCCCCAAAUGCACGGAGCGACAGGCAAAAAGACAGGUGAGGGAGGAGCGCACCAAGGACCAGGCGGCCGGCCACGAGGCAGGAGGAGGACGGCAGUUCGGAAAACCGAGCGAACGCGCGCAGCACAGAAAUACUAACCCGGAGGCUGCGAGCGAGCGAGGCGCGGCGGCCCCGGCUGCGGCGCUCCACCCGCUACCCUACCGGGGCGAGGAGGGAGGCGGCGGCCCGCCCCGAGCACGAAAAGCCAUCUCGGUAUCCCCGGGCGCGGCGCCGCUCGCUCGGGGGCCGUGGUUCCCCGCUCCCUCCGCGUGCGGGCGCCCAGCUCCCCGGCUGGCCCGCGCCGCGAGGCCCCGCCAGGCGGGCGCCCCCGCUCCCCGCGCUGCCGGCUGCCGCGGGGACAGCGCCUAACUCCGGGGAACAAUGGCCUCCGCGCUUCGCGGGAGUCCUCCCGGCUAAGCGAAACCCCGGCUCCUGUUUGCAAAACAGAUUUUUAAUGCCGGUCACAAUGCCAGGUGGAGGACGCUCAACGGCUCUGAGUCUGCCAUGAAGAUGAAUGUGUGCCCACGCCACGCACACACACAAUCCCAGGCCAUAGAGAACACCAUCAACACUGCUGACUCCCUCUCUCGUUUUCAUGGCCCUCGGCUACCACGACUGCUGCCUGUUACCUAACUGCAGUAAGGACUUGAGCAUUCACUUGAACGACGUGCACACUCUUCUACUAAUCAUUUAUUUGCUCUGGUUUGAAUCCCCCCAAAUAGUUCACAGUAAGUGACGGGCGCAGUUGGGAAUUGAGAGUGUGUUCUCUGAGUGGGACAAGGUCUCCCAGCUGUGACAAGAAGACCCGUCUAUCCAUGUCCCGAGUGCUCAUCCAGGCUGAGGUAGGUACUAGGGUGUCGGGAUGAAAGAGCAACCAGGAAGCUCCCCGGAAGAGAGUGCUGCACGAAGAGAGAGUCACAAGUGUGGGAAUUGGUAACAAGAGAUGUUUAAGGGGAGGGAGCACAGGGCACAGGAAGAGCCAAGUUCGAGGCUAAGCAGAGUCACCCACACUGGCUCCAGGUUCUUCCUCCCUUUCUGAUGGUACAGCAUACCCUUCAUAGCAACAGACAUUUAAUGAGCACCAACUACCUUCCGAAGACUCUGCUAGGAGCAGAGAGGAGUGAACAACAAAAAAUGAUUACAACAACGAAGGUCAUUAACGGGCAUUUACGCGUGGCCCUCAGCUGAGUGAGGAUGACGGCACUUUCCCAUUUCAGCAAGGUGAACGGUAGGUACUAGAGCACAGAGCUGCGAUAUGGGACGGGGCAUCGAGCGUCAGCACCUGAGCUGGAAGACGCCAGAGCAGCCUGAACAGUAAUCGAUACCACCUCAACUGUGAGCACGAACGGCACCAGUGCCACCGUUACAGCCGCCAGUUCCACAAGCCAAGCACGUCACCAUCAAGCACCCCGUCUGUGCUGUCGCACGCGAGACGUGCGCGGUAUCUCAUCGGAUCCCCGGUGCAGGCUUAUUACGUUGUCACGUUUCCCAGGUAAGAAAAGGAGACGGAGAAAUCAAGCUUGCCCGAGGUUACAGAGUAAGCAGGGGAGAGUGGGAAGGGAGGCAAGUCGUCUGCUCCAGAAUCCGCCUCUCCGGGUGCGUGCUACGCAGCCCUGUGGCAAUCCGCUGUUGCUGACCACCAACAGAGCCGGCCGGGAGGCACGUCUAGGGGCAGGAGUUCCCCAAAGUCUGCCAAGUUGGAAAACAUUUUGUACUGUGACUGCUACAACGACCUAAUUUUUAUCUUUGCUGUUGUCGUGCCUGGUGGAAGAUCAAGACGCCCGGGGCCGAGUGUCUACUUUGGGGAAGGCCACACCUGGAGAUCUUAUCUGCUUCUCAACACCCCCAAAUAACCAGCUGGGUACCUUGGACAAGUCACUUUAACGCGCCGAGCCUCAGUUUUCGUUAUCUCCAAAAUAAAGGGGUUGGACUCAA